UAUUUUUUUUAUUAUGUUUCAUUAAUUUUUAUCUCUAAGUUUGAACGCGUAAACAGACAUUUUUGCAAGGUUUACCUUCGCAUAUAAUAUCGCUGAGUGUUCAUGCUUUGGUAUUAAGAUACAGGAAUGCCUGCUUCUUAAAAUACGACUAAAUCAGCUUCGCUCUUGGAAAACGGAGCUUAAUGCCUGUGCGUAAAGUGUCGGCCUAGCUUAGCCUGUGCUGUACGAGUGUCGAAGCCCAUAACACUUGCAUUUAUAUCCAAAUCUUCGCCAAAGCGGGAUAAAUUACGACGUGUUUUUUUAGUGCAAAUAUUCAUCACUUUCACACAACUGGAGAACAAAUGUCAUUUAUCUACUUGAACUAAUAAAGUAUUUUGGCGUCAUAAAA